rnacentral:misc_RNA from 1 species
GAUGUGAAGUGAUAAUCUACAUCUUAUGUAUUUUCCUCAAUCCUCAUCAACUGGGACACUAAAUUUCAGUGGAGAAGAAUACAGUUUUGCCUCCAGUCUCGGUGUAGCAUGGUACAUGUCGCCCUCUCUCUGGCAGAAUAUGUACAGCCUUUCCUCUGGCAGGAUGGCUGAACUGGGCUCAUCGACUGAUGUCGGCAUCCGGCCACAGAAAAAGAAAUUAGUCCCAGUACUUAAUCAAGCCAUCCCAACCGCAAGUUGCAACUUUACUUUGCUCCAGUGGAUGCCACUCACAACGAAUGCUCACUCCCUCAUGACACUUAAGAGUCCUGAAAACUUUGCAACUCUUCCAGUCCCAAAACCAGCACUUACCCUCACCAUCUCCUGACAUAACGAAUCGUCCAUCUGGUGAGAAAUUGACUUGGCAAGCAUAACCUGCCACAAUAUGCCCGGCAAACCUC